rnacentral:rRNA from 1 species
CCUACGGGAGGCAGCAGUGGGGGAUAUUGCACAAUGGAGGAAACUCUGAUGCAGCGACGCCGCGUGAGUGAAGACGGUCUUCGGAUUGUAAACCUCUGUCUUUGGGGAAGAAAAUGACGGUACCCAAAGAGGAAGCUCUGGCAAACUACGUGCCAGCAGCCGCGGUAAUACGUAGGGCGAGCGCGUUGUCCGGAAUUACUGGGUGAAACGGGAGCGGAGGCGUGCGAGAAAGUUGAGUGUUAAAUCUACCGGCUUAACUGGUAGCUGCGUUCAAAACUUCUUGUCUUGAGUGAAGUAGAGGCGGGCGGAAGUCCUGGUGUAGCGGUGAAAUGCGUAGAGAUUAGGAGGAACACCAGUGGCGAAGGCGGCCUGCUGGACGAUGACUGACGUUGAGGCGCGAAAGCGUGGGGAGCAAACAGGAUUAGAUACCCCAGUAGUC